AGUGGGAAAGAACCAGGUUUGUGCAUGAAAAGGUUUCCUGAGGGUGUCUGCCAUGAAGCCUAUGGUGGUAAUCACAGGAAACAAGGGCGGAUCCAGAGUUGCACUAAAGGAGAAGCCUUCAUUGAAACAAAUAUGGAGGGGGGUUACUGCAUGCUCAAAUUUGUGAGCUCGCAAGUUUGCCAAGACCGAGUCGUGCCAGAAGUUGAUGAAGCCUACAUGGUUAAUGAAUAAUCGCAUAGGCCAAAAUUAUUUAGGUACUGUUUAUGAGGACUACAUAUUUACUGGAAAUCUCUGAAAAUAAUUGUGUAAGCGCAGAAUAACAUUCUCCACUAAUGGUGACGUCCUUGAAAGAAUGAAAAUGUAUGAGUUGUACCUGUGUGGUGAAUAAAGUUACAUUAAAAAAAAAAAAAAACUCUCAGCAAUGGAAACAAAAUUUAAUGUAUAGUACUCCAAAUAUAUUGCCUCUUCUUUAGAACUAGAUGAAUGCAAUUAAUUAUAAUAAUCCAUUGAAAAUUGAACGCCAAC
rnacentral:lncRNA from 1 species